rnacentral:rRNA from 1 species
AACGAACGCUGGCGGCAUGCCUAACACAUGCAAGUCGAACGAAGCCUUCGGGCUUAGUGGCGCACGGGUGCGUAACGCGUGGGAAUCUGCCCUUUGGUUCGGAAUAACAGUUGGAAACGACUGCUAAUACCGGAUGAUGACGAAAGUCCAAAGAUUUAUCGCCAGAGGAUGAGCCCGCGUAGGAUUAGCUAGUUGGUGUGGUAAAGGCGCACCAAGGCGACGAUCCUUAGCUGGUCUGAGAGGAUGAUCAGCCACACUGGGACUGAGACACGGCCCAGACUCCUACGGGAGGCAGCAGUGGGGAAUAUUGGACAAUGGGCGAAAGCCUGAUCCAGCAAUGCCGCGUGAGUGAUGAAGGCCCUAGGGUUGUAAAGCUCUUUUACCCGGGAUGAUAAUGACAGUACCGGGAGAAUAAGCCCCGGCUAACUCCGUGCCAGCAGCAGCGGUAA